GGGUCAGUAGGUUGGUCGUGCCACCGGUACGUACUGGUCUCACUGAUUCCUCCUUCCUGAAUAACCGUAAUGCCAUUAAUUUGGUGUUGCGGGGAAGCAGGACUGUUACUUUGAAAAAAUUAGAGUGUUUAAAGCAAGCUAACGCUUGAAUACAUUAGCAUGGAAUAAUGAAAUAGGACGAUCGAUCCUAUUUUGUUGGUUUCUAGGAUUGACGUA
rnacentral:rRNA from 1 species